UGCUUACCAUGCAGUCGAACGAGAAACGGUCUAGCUUGCUAGAUGCAGUCUAAGUGGCGCACGGGUGAGUAAUAUAUAGGUAAUAUGCCUCUUACUAAGGGAUAACAGAUGGAAACGUCUGCUAAUACCUUAUAUGCCUUUAGGACUAAAGUCCGCAAGGGAAAGAUUUAUCGGUAAGAGAUUAGCCUGUACAGUAUCAGUUAGUUGGUGAGGUAAUGGCUCACCAAGACUAUGACACUUAACUGGUUUGAGAGGAUGAUCAGUCACACUGGAACUGAGACACGGUCCAGACUCCUACGGGAGGCAGCAGUGGGGAAUAUUGCACAAUGGACGGAAGUCUGAUGCAGCAACGCCGCGUGGAGGAUGACACAUUUCGGUGCGUAAACUCCUUUUAUAUGAGAAGAUAAUGACGGUAUCAUAUGAAUAAGCACCGGCUAACUCCGUGCCAGCAGCCGCGGUAAUACGGAGGGUGCAAGCGUUACUCGGAAUCACUGGGCGUAAAGAGCGUGUAGGCGGGUUGAUAAGUUUGAAGUGAAAUCCUAUAGCUUAACUAUAGAACUGCUUUGAAAACUGUUAACCUAGAAUAUGGGAGAGGUAGAUGGAAUUUCUGGUGUAGGGGUAAAAUCCGUAGAGAUCAGAAGGAAUACCGAUUGCGAAGGCGAUCUACUGGAACAUUAUUGACGCUGAGACGCGAAAGCGUGGGUAGCAAACAGGAUUAGAUACCCUGGUAGUCCACGCCCUAAACGAUGUACACUAGUUGUUGUGAGGCUCGACCUUGCAGUAAUGCAGUUAACACAUUAAGUGUACCGCCUGGGGAGUACGGUCGCAAGAUUAAAACUCAAAGGAAUAGACGGGGACCCGCACAAGCGGUGGAGCAUGUGGUUUAAUUCGACGAUACACGAAGAACCUUACCUGACUUGACAUAGUAGACUUUCUAG
rnacentral:rRNA from 1 species